AAAACCUAGCGAGCAACCAAUCCUCUCCCUACCUCGAGCCCCGCGCCCCUCGUUUUCCCCUUCUCCCCGGAUUCUCCACCUCCGCGGUCGCCGUCUCGUCGCCCGACGUCCUGCCUCAUCAACGGCCGCCCUCCUACCUCCUUCUCUUGGGUUACUGCCCCCACGCUCGAGGUAGAGCAACGGCGGCGCAGCUCCUCCUCACGGACACGACCGCCUCCGCCUGCUCAUCUUCCAGCUGCUGUCGUCGGCACAGCGGCCUUAGGGUGGAGGCGGCACACACAGGCAUAUAGGCAACAUGAUGGCUGCACGAUACGCCGACAUGAGAGGAAUCUAGGUCGAGCCCCCACCCAGGCGGCAGCCUGCAGGGGAGGAUAGCUCGAGGACAACCCCCAAUUCAUGGAGAAGACUCUCGGUACAGGGAGCUAUGGUUCGGCCGGGUUUGAUUCCUACAGUGAUGGCAGCAUCGGCUAGCAGCUGCACAUCCCUCGACUUCUACAACCUCGCCCACCGAGCGCCUCUCUUUUUUAGGUGGUGCCACUGUUCCCCAUACUUUGUUUUUAGAAUUUUAUACACACUGAUCUAUAGGUUGGUCAGAUCUGUUGUAUGAGGCAGCACAGGAAUAAGAACAAUUUUCAGAUGUGUGCUAAUCCAAAUUUAGGCUAGAUUUUUCAUGAGCGGGUUUAGGAUUGUAUUGGAGACCUUGAUGGCUGCCUCUAUGUGCCAUUUCAGGGACUCAAAUUAUGCAUUACAUACAAUCAGUCACGUGAUUGGUUUUCUAAUUUAGCAUACUAAUGAUUUUUAUUCGGGAUGUCAUAGAUAUCGUAAGUUGUGUUUGAACUUUGCUGCUAAACCAGCUCCAUGUUUCACAUAAACAUGAUAUCAGUUUUAAUCAACUAUGGCCAGAUGUGGUCUCCUCGAGGCACCGGAAUGUCACAGAUAUCGUAAGUUGUGUUUGUGCUUUGCCGUAGCCACCGGGAGACCUUGACUGAGAUUGAGAGACAACUGACCACACCCGAUCUAGGUAUAAUUGGCUUGAUUUUCUCUCUCUUGAAUAUUGCUUCCAAAUUUGCAUGACAUGUAUACAUUACAAUCUGUUCAUCCUUGCUUCGAAUUGUUGGUUCAUGGAAUUAAUUUGUACCUGUACUUAUGCAAUCAUAAUCUCCUUAAAGGUUCCUUCCUAGGUUAGUGUCGUGUAUCUAGGCGGAAUCAGUGAAUAUCAUAUUUAGUUUAUUUCAAUUGUGAACCCAUUCUUGGCAGAAAAUGUAUGCAUGGAAGUUUUACUCGUGAAGAACGCACGUAGCUACACCGUUUAGCUACCAGCAGGUGCGUCCUACUCUGCUUGCAGCGACGACGGACUAUCUCUCCUACUAUUGUCACUUUAAACAUUAGAAAUGCCAUCUUUCAGCUUAGAUUUGGAUUGCAGCACUAAUCCUUUGAGCUCACCAUUUGCGCAUUUGAUUUGUAUGUGCAGUCCACAGUUAUCAAACACUUGGUUGGCCGUUGAAAUAUAGUUGUUGAAUCUGUCUUUUUGAUACAGGUUUGUGGGGAUGGAUGUAACACCUCAAAAUUUUGACCUUGUUUUAUUAAUUAAAAUUUUGCCAGGAAAUUAAAUUUUUAUUUUGUGGAUUUAUCUUUUGAUUUCAGAACCUC